ACUUGGACUUCCCAGCCUACAGAAAUGACUUCAUGUGCAAGCGCUUUGCCUUAAUGAGUACUGCAGCAAAUGCACAAUGAGGGACUCUUACCCAAGAAACCUAGAAUGAAAUCUGUGCUGCCUGCUACAACCUGUGGCUUUGGAUUUUCUCGAGGCCCCAGAGCGUCAGAGGAAGUUUUCCGAAUGGCACUCUGCGUGGGAAGGAGCUUGUGCACGUGCACGCUACCACCAUCUGCCCUCAGUGCUGAUUCAGGAGGCGCUUCUCAACUAUAGCCCACAGUGUGACAACUGAACGUGUCCCCUCACGUUUCCAAAUAUGGGGGGGUGCAGGAGGCACUGCUCACUGUUGCACCCCCUGACCCAUGCUGCCAGUCCUGCCCUCACUGCUGGGUGCUCACUGGGACCCUGGAAAGGUCUAGCUGAGCCUUUUAGGGCAUGAGGAUGUUGGGAGAAUAGAGGUGGCUCCUCUGAGAAGCCUGAGAAGUGAUCAGGCCAACCUUAGAAUCUCUGACUACUAGAGGCUUGACUUGCAGUGAAACCCGUCCUAACUGAUGAAGAUCCUGUAUCGAGUUAGAGAAAUGGAAAAAACGACGCAGGGGUCUGGUUUGCCAGCCAACAGCUGUGGCUUAAAUCUGAGUCCUUUGGAAAGAAAGGAAGGCAUUCCUUUUAUUUCUAAUAUGGCUAAGGUGCAACAGAACCCCUGAAAUUUACCUGGGUGUGUAGCUGCCCAAAAUAAAGACUUUCCUUUCCCACCACCCCUGCAGCUCCGUGUGGUGUGUGGGCAAAUCCUGGCUGAUGGGAUGUGGGUAGAAGAGACGUGUGCUCAGGAAGAUGGCCCACGCAGGGAAGGAGCAGGUCUUGCGCUCCUCUCCAUUCCACUUGCCAGAAAAUUGCUGCAGUAGACACUGUGGCACUAUAGGUGCUGUGGACGCCACGGGCAUGGUGGUGAGCACCUUCAGCUGCAUGGAAGAGGUGUCAUUUCAGGGCGGUUCUGCACACAAUCUGCCCUGCACACAGGAGCUACUGUAUGAACCUCGCUCCCAGUGUGUGAGGUGAGAAGGACAGAAAUUGGGUCAGCUUUGAUAAACUUUCAUAGUACCUUGAUAUUGCCUUGACCUUCAAGCAUAUGAUCUGUGGACCCACCUCAAUAUAUUGACCAGGCCUGGGCAUGAGUCAAGCACUUUUUAAGCCCAAUAAAGAUACAUAGCGGUCUGAGAUCGAUUGGAAAUUUAAAUGAUAAUAGAAAUAAUGACAGUCGUACUCCAGAUUGUGUGAGAAACACAUCUGUAAGGGACGGCAGAGUCACGGAGAAAAGGAGGCAGGGCCUGGGUACCAUGGAGCCAGCCGAAGAGCCCCACCACGAAUCCUCCUACCUUUAGAGAAGAGAGAAACUCUUCCCUGGUUUAAGCUGUCAUAUUUGGGGGCCCAUUUGUUUCUCAGCCUAAGCUGUACCCCAGCGGGUGUGCCUGUAUAUGAAUAGAGUGUGGGCUCAGCUGAUGGACCAGACAUUCCAUGUACUGGCGCAUAACAUUCUGACUCGCAUGCAGUAAGAACAAAAGGAAAUACAGCCCAAUUUGGUAAAAUUCUCUCACAGCCUGGAAAAGAGCAUCCCGAACAGUGGAGAGGAAGAGGGAGUGAGGCCCUGUGGACACAGCAGAGGAAUCCACAAUGGAUUUGCAGCAGGCUGGUGGAGGCAGAGCAGAGAAGGGCGGGAGAGGGCCAGUGAAGCCCUGGGAAGGUGGACCCACAAACUCGUCUCCUAAUGAAGCUAACCAGCAAUGCGAGGGCACACAGGGCGACCCCCUAGAGGCUGCCCCAGGCCAGGAGUCACCUGUGAACUGAGGUGGCCAAGGCAGGUUCUGUGGCAGAGGGUGAAUGCCUGCAGAUGAGAACCAGCCGCGGUGCCCAGAAAGGAACAGUGUGCGGGCCUGACAGGAGCCCCCAUCAAUACAACCAGCUCCUGCUCAGAACUCUCCUCAGGCAGACAAAUAGAAGGUAUGUUUCUACUUCCCCAGGCCUCAGCACCAUGACUAUUCUAGUCCCAGUGGAUACCCUGCUUCAGGUUUUGUGCAGCUGAGUUGAAAAAGAAUAACAGAAUAGGAGGAAAACAAGGGGAAGAAGGUUGCAGUAAAGAAGCUGGCCAAAACCCACCAAAACCAAGAUGGUGACGAGAGUGACUCUGGUCGUCCUGACUGCUACACUCCCACCAGCGCCAUGACAGUUUACAGAUGCCACGGCAACAUCUGGAAGUUACCUGUACGGUCUAUAAAGGGGAGGCAUGAAUAAUCCACCCCUUGUUUAGCAUAUCAUCAAGAAAUAACCUAAAAAUGGGCAACCAGCAGCCCUUGGGGCUCCUCUGCCUAUGGAGUGGCCAUUCUUUUAUUCCUUUACUUUCUCAAUAAACUUGCUUUCACUUUA